CAGCAGCCGCGGUAAUACGAAGGGACUUAGCGUAGUUCGGAAUUACUGGGCUUAAAGAGUUCGUAGGUGGUUGAAAAAGUUAGUGGUGAAAUCCCAGAGCUUAACUCUGGAACUGCCAUUAAAACUUUUCAGCUAGAGUAUGAUAGAGGAAAGCAGGAUUUCUAGUGUAGAGGUGAAAUUCGUAGAUAUUAGAAAGAAUACCAAUUGCGAAGGCAGCUUUCUGGAUCAUUACUGACACUGAGGAACGAAAGCAUGGGUAGCGAAGAGGAUUAGAUACCCUCGUAGUCCAUGCCGUAAACGAUGUGUGUUAGACGUUGGAAAUUUAUUUUCAGUGUCGCAGCGAAAGCGAUAAACACACCGCCUGGGGAGUACGACCGCAAGGUUAAAACUCAAAUGAAUUGACGGGGACCCGCACAAGUAGUGGAGCAUGUGGUUUAAUUCGAAGAUACGCGCAGAACCUUACCAACACUUGACAUGUUCGUCGCAACUCUAAGAGAUUAGAGUUUUCGGUUCGGCCGGACGAAACACAGGUGCUGCAUGGCUGUCGUCAGCUCGUGUCGUGAGAUGUUGGGUUAAGUCCCGCAACGAGCGCAACCCUCACUUUUAGUUGCCAUCAUUAAGUUGGGCACUCUGAAAGAACUGCCAGUGAUAAGCUGGAGGAAGGUGGGGAUGACGUCAAGUCCUCAUGGCCCUUACGUGUUGGGCUACACACGUGCUACAAUGGUAUCUACAACAGGAAGCAAGACUGCGAAGUUAAGCAAAUCCCUAAAAGAUACCUCAGUUCGGAUUGCACUCUGCAACUCGAGUGCAUGAAGCUGGAAUUACUAGUAAUCGUGGAUCAGCGUGCCACGGUGAAUGCGUUCCCGGGUCUUGUACACACCGCCCGUCACACCAUGGGAGUUGGUUCUACCUUAAGGCAAGGUUUUAAACCCUUGACCACGGUAUAGUCAGCGACUGGGGUG
rnacentral:rRNA from 1 species